rnacentral:misc_RNA from 1 species
UGGUUCUGGCAUNGAUGAAGAACGCAGCGAAAUGCGAUAAGUAAUGUGAAUUGCAGAAUUCAGUGAAUCAUCGAAUCUUUGAACGCACAUUGCGCCCCCUGGUAUUCCGGGGGGCAUGCCUGUUCGAGCGUCAUUAAACCACUCAAGCCCCGCUUGGUGUUGGGCGCAGGCCUUCCUAGGCCCGCCCGUAACCCGUCGGCGGUGAGUACCGGCCCCCAGCGUAGCAGUUCUUUCGCUCCGGAGCCCGCGUGCCCGCCCGCCAGGCAAAUGACCCUCAAGAGUUUGACCUCGGAUCAGGUAGGGAUACCCGCUGA